UACAGAGGGUGCGAACGUUGCUCGGAAUUACUGGGCGUAAAGCGCGUGUAGGCGGAGCGCUAAGUCGGGCGUGAAAUCCCCAGGCUCAACCUGGGAACUGCGCUCGAAACUGGCGUUCUCGAGUAUCGGAGAGGGUGGCGGAAUUCCUGGUGUAGAGGUGAAAUUCGUAGAUAUCAGGAGGAACACCGGUGGCGAAGGCGGCCACCUGGACGAUUACUGACGCUGAGACGCGAAAGCGUGGGGAGCAAAC
rnacentral:rRNA from 1 species